AGCCCCGCCCCGUCCUAUUCGGGCUCCCGCCUCUGUUCAGUUCCAGAGACAAUUCAUGGGUCUUGGGGCCACCGAGGCGCUGUCCCUGACCACCAGCACGAGACCCCUUUCUAUCGCGCCAGUCCUGUGGUCUCCGCACCUCUCCAGCUCCUGCACCCCCGGCCCCCGUGGUUCCCAGCCGCACAGUAGCGUGUCCUGGGUAGCGUGAGGACCCACGGGGCUGGGCAGGACACUGGGUCCCCUUGGAGCCUCCCCAGGCUUAAUGAUUGUCCAGAAGGCGGCUAUAAAGGGAGCCUGGGAGGCUGGGUGGAGGAGGGAGCAGAAAAAACCCAACUCAGCAGAUCUGGGAACUGUGAGAGCGGCAAGCAGGAACUGUGGUCAGAGGCUGUGCGUCUUGGCUGGUAGGGCCUGCUCUUUUCUACCAUGGCAGCCCAGGGCUAUGGCUAUUAUCGCACUGUGAUCUUCUCAGCCAUGUUUGGGGGCUACAGCCUGUAUUACUUCAAUCGCAAGACCUUCUCCUUUGUCAUGCCAUCAUUGGUGGAAGAGAUCCCUUUGGACAAGGAUGAUUUGGGGUUCAUCACCAGCAGCCAGUCGGCAGCUUAUGCUAUCAGCAAGUUUGUCAGUGGGGUGCUGUCUGACCAGAUGAGUGCUCGCUGGCUCUUCUCUUCUGGGCUGCUCCUGGUUGGCCUGGUCAACAUAUUCUUUGCCUGGAGCUCCACAGUACCUGUCUUUGCUGCCCUCUGGUUCCUUAAUGGCCUGGCCCAGGGGCUGGGCUGGCCCCCAUGUGGGAAGGUCCUGCGGAAGUGGUUUGAGCCAUCUCAGUUUGGCACUUGGUGGGCCAUCCUGUCAACCAGCAUGAACCUGGCUGGAGGGCUGGGCCCUAUCCUGGCAACCAUCCUUGCCCAGAGCUACAGCUGGCGCAGCACGCUGGCCCUAUCUGGGGCACUGUGGUGUGGUUGUCUCCUUCCUCUGUCUCCUGCUCAUCCACAAUGAACCUGCUGAUGUUGGACUCCGCAACCUGGACCCCAUGCCCUCUGAGGGCAAGAAGGGCUCCUUGAAGGAGGAGAGCACCCUGCAGGAGCUGCUGCUGUCCCCUUACCUGUGGGUGCUCUCCACUGGUUACCUUGUGGUGUUUGGAGUAAAGACCUGCUGUACUGACUGGGGCCAGUUCUUCCUUAUCCAGGAGAAAGGACAGUCAGCCCUUGUAGGUAGCUCCUACAUGAGUGCCCUGGAAGUUGGGGGCCUUGUAGGCAGCAUCGCAGCUGGCUACCUGUCAGACCGGGCCAUGGCAAAGGCGGGACUGUCCAACUACGGGAACCCUCGCCAUGGCCUGUUGCUGUUCAUGAUGGCUGGCAUGACAGUGUCCAUGUACCUCUUCCGGGUAACAGUGACCAGUGACUCCCCCAAGGAUGUUGCUUUCUGGACUCUGGCUCUUCACCCUCUCGCGGAGCUCACAGGCUUUACAGAGCAUGAGCUCUGGAUCCUGGUAUUGGGAGCUGUAUUUGGUUUCUCCUCGUAUGGCCCCAUUGCCCUGUUUGGAGUCAUAGCCAACGAGAGUGCCCCUCCCAACUUGUGUGGCACCUCCCACGCCAUUGUGGGACUCAUGGCCAAUGUGGGCGGCUUUCUGGCUGGGCUGCCCUUCAGCACCAUUGCCAAGCACUACAGUUGGAGCACAGCCUUCUGGGUGGCUGAAGUGAUUUGUGCGGCCAGCACGGCUGCCUUCUUCCUCCUACGAAACAUCCGCACCAAGAUGGGCCGAGUGUCCAAGAAGGCUGAGUGA
rnacentral:lncRNA from 1 species